GGACGCAUUGCUGAAAGGAAUCCGUUAACGCAUACGUUAAUCACGAUAGGUACGAACCCUCUUGGUUACGAGUCAAAAGUGUAGUGAUGUACGCUAACCGAAUAAGGCUUUACAACAAGUCUUUUGAUUGGCUCUAGUUGAGCCCGAGCUGUAUACGAACCAAUUAGAAUCAACCUUUUGAAUAGAGUGUGUUAUGAUAUUUUCUUGAGUCCCCGGAUGAUUGCCUGUUUAACUUUUUGUACUUUACAGUCAUUAAUAAUACAGAAAUAAUGCCCCCGAAAAAGGCCUUGAAGCUAGAUCCAAAACAAACAACUGUAAACUUUGAUUACGAUCCAAAACAAUGAUGAAUAACAACAGAACUGGAAAUGCCCGCGGGCGCGGGAGACCAAGAAAACGACAGUUUCACCAGAAAAAGGAAGGAAGACCAGAUGAUGUGAUUAAAAAGGAUAAGUAUAUGGUUGCUCAGUCUACCACACAGGAAAGUAUAGAAAUAUCCAAUGCUAAUACAAAUGUUAAUGAAACAACAACAAAAAUUUUAACUUUAGAAAAUUUGCUUUCUCUUGGCCCAAUAAAUGUUUUGUCUGUCACAACUGAGUUAGGUCUACAGGAUUCUGUUGUUGGACCCUGGGAGUAUAAAAUUGCAAGAAACUGCAUCGUAAAGUAUACCAUUCAAAGCUCAAACAUCAGUCAAAUAAAUCGACUUGAUAACUUGUUAACAAGAGGAAUACCAACUACUGAAAGAUCAUCCCUCGCUUUCCGUUGGUAUUCAUGGAUUCGUUUAAAGGCCAUUGCAAAUCAAAAAAAUUUACCAAUAAACUCAGUGCUGACGAAUGAGGGUCAAUUUCUUUCACUUCUACACGAAGUAAAUCUUUAUUACACUAAAUCUUCAAAAGUUUGUAGAGAUGAAGGCUUAGAGCCAAAUCGUGGACCACAAUCCCAUGAAGAUGCUUGCAAUUUAGAGCGCCUUCAUUAUUAUGGAAAGGGCACAAUAAAAUACUACAGAAAAACAACUUUCUUGCAGCUAGUUGCAAAAAAAUAUGGAGAAAA